GCGAGGGUGGCGGAAUUGGCAGACGCGCCAGGUUUAGGUCCUGGUCCCGAAAGGGAUGCGGGUUCGAAUCCCGCCCCUCGCA
rnacentral:tRNA from 1 species